rnacentral:lncRNA from 1 species
UUGAUGUCGAGAGAUAUUAGAUUUGCCUUUUAGGUUUGUUGGGUUCAUCUCUUGGUGAUAGUUUGAUCUUGGUAUAGGUAUGGAGUUUGAUACUUUAUUCUUAUGGUGUGGUUCUUAUUCUAGUGGAUUUAAAGGGGAUGGCGAUAGUUGGUCUUUCUUGUGACAGCUACUUAAGUUGGGAUUAUAGGUAUUCAUAUGAGGUUUAAAGUAUUGGAUUAACCAAUUCCCAGGUAAGGUUGUAGUUCUCCAAGUUUUUAGAGUUUUGGUUAUCUAUGGUGCAGUUGGUAGCCUUGUGGAUUCUUAGGUGUGCCUG